rnacentral:rRNA from 1 species
UACGUAGGGUGCGAGCGUGAAUCGGAAUUACUGGGCGUAAAGCGUGCGUAGACGGUUAUUUAAGUCGGGUGUGAAAGCCCCGGGCUCAACCUGGGAAUUGCAUUCGAGACUGAAUAGCUAGGGUACGGUAGAGGGAAGCGGAAUUUCCGGUGUAGCGGUGAAAUGCGUAGAUAUCGGAAGGAACAUCAGUGGCGAAAGCGGCUUCCUGGACCAGUACCGACGUCAGGCACGAAA